GAUGAACGCUGGCGGCGUGCCUAAUACAUGCCAGUCGAGCGAACAGACGAGGAGCUUGCUCCUCUGACGUUAGCGGCGGACGGGUGAGUAACACGUGGAUAACCUACCUAUAAGACUGGGAUAACUUCGGGAAACCGGAGCUAAUACCGGAUAAUAUAUUGAACCGCAUUGUUCAAUAGUGAAAGACGGUUUUGCUGUCACUUAUAGAUGGAUCCGCGCCGCAUUAGCUAGUUGGUAAGGUAACGGCUUACCAAGGCAACGAUGCGUAGCCGACCUGAGAGGGGGAUCGGCAACACUGGAACUGAGAAAGGGUCCAGACUCCUACGGGAGGCAGCAGUAGGGAAUCUUCCGCAAUGGGCGAAAGCCUGACGGAGCAACGCAGCGUGAGUGAUGAAGGUCUUCGGAUCGUAAAACUCUGUUAUUAGGGAAGAACAAAUGUGUAAGUAACUAUGCACGUCUUGACGGUACCUAAUCAGAAAGCCACGGCUAACUACGUG
rnacentral:rRNA from 1 species